UACGUAGGUGGCAAGCGUUGUCCGGAUUUACUGGGCGUAAAGGAUGCGUAGGCGGAUAUUUAAGUGAGAUGUGAAAUUCCCGGGCUUAACUUGGGAGCUGCAUUUCAAACUGGGUAUCUAGAGUGCGGGAGAGGAAAGUGGAAUUCCUAGUGUAGCGGUGAAAUGCGUAGAGAUCAGGAGGAACACCGGUGGCGAAGGCGGGUCUCUGGGCAGUAACUGACGCUGAGGAGCGAAAGCGUGGGGAGCGAACAGG
rnacentral:rRNA from 1 species